UUUCUUCAUUCCUCCUCAACCUAGCCUGAUGUGAUGAAAGAACAAAUGAAAGAACCCCAAAUUGGGGAGACUCUCGCUUCAGUCUCGGGAUGGCGUACCCCAGGAAACACGAGAAGCC
rnacentral:pre_miRNA from 14 species